rnacentral:rRNA from 1 species
UACGGAAGGGGCAAGCGUUGUUCGGAAUCAUUGGGCGUAAAGGGCGCGCAGGUGGUCUGUAUGUCUACCGUGAAAGCGUACGGCUCAACCGUAUUUUGUCGGUAGAAACUGCAGGACUUGAGGCUGGGAGGGGCUGGUGGAAUUCCCUGUGUAGCGGUGAAAUGCGUAGAUAUCUGGAGGAACACCGGUGGCGAAGGCGGCUUCCUGGACCGACACUGACGCUGAGGCGCGAAAGCCAGGGAGCAAACGGG